GAUGCUGGGCUAUUGUGUGACCAGGCUGCGGAUGGUGUAGCAAUGCUGUGUUGAUUAGGGAAGGACUUCUGUGCCUCUACUAGAAAUAAGCAAAGGAAGCAAGGGGUCUGGUGAGAGAGAAAGCAGACGGGGUGAAGAGGGGAUGAGCUGUCAGUGAUGGCUGACGAGGGAUCCUUACAGUUGGGAGUCUGCAGAUGUAUCUGGGAAGGGAGCUGGGCACGAGAGAGGCACCAUCUUGUAACAGGUUUGUGGAAACCCCUCUCCAGCUUUUGUGAAAACAGCAGCCGAGGGAGCUAAGCCCAGAGGACAUCUUCAGCCAGAGACUCCAGGUUGGGGAGGUACAUUUUAUAUUUAUUUAUUAUCGCAACACACACUAUAAAUUUUUAAACCUAUUUGAGUAAUUUCCCCUGAGGAGGAAAUCUGACCCCAUUCCCACAGUUAUCCCGCCCUCAACGUGCUAAGAGGGCCACAAAGCAUUUGGAAGGCUUCCUUUAAAGUUCUGGAUCAUUCCUCCAUUCUCAGGGCUGCCAGUCCCGCUCCAUGGGUCCUGCUAAUAUUGGAGCAUAUUUAUUUAUCAGUAUUAGGGAUGGGGGGUGGAUAGGGCAACAGCUGAAGGUCUGUCCUGUACCCCUGGAGAUUUGUGGCCUUUGGUGUUGAGGGGGGAGAUAGUGACCACUCAGAGAUAACCGUUUGUUAUGCAAUAAAAAUGACUCAGUGGCUCUGAGCAUGAACUCUCCCAGGGAGGGUGCUGAUAGGGGCAGCUGGAGACUUUUUUUCUAACCAAAUGAGCAAGCAGGAGCUCAGAGAUUUGUUGUGAAAAGGGGUGGCUUUGCUGCCUUCCUUCCUCAUGGCUUCAUUUGCUUGUCAGGCUCCCCCAGAGGGACUCCUGCUCCUGAGGCCACCAUUGCCACUGAGUAAGCAGGCUCCAGGGCUGGGAAGGGGCAGACAAACUCAAAAGCACCAGGGAGAGGAUAAACAGGGCACAGAUUUGUGACGUGCAUUAAAAUGCACGGAUCUGCCACACUUUUCUACAUCAUAUGUAUUUUCAAUAAAACAGGAGUAAAUAUUCAUAGUGAACUGUGUCAAAUGACAAGGGAGAUUUUCAGAGUGUGGGACCCUUGGGAGCAGCAUCUCAGGGGCUUCACUAGGGAUGCCCCAUCUGGACCGUGCAGCAGCAGACAAUAGCAGUGGGAACUCAUCUCCGGGAAGACACCAGAAUCUGGAUGUGUCUGUAUACUGCUGGAAAUUUUGAGGUCACAAACCUUGAACACUGUCACUGAUUCCUCCUCUUUGCUUAUAACCUAGGAUGCUCUCUCUCUCUCUCUCUCUCCCUCUCUCUAUCUUUCUCUCUCUCUCGUGUGUGUGUGUUUAUAUGUGUAUGUGUGUGAGUAUAUUCCUCAGGAGCGGUCCAACUUGGGUUUUGAUGCAGCAGGAUCUCUCACUGUCCAGGAACUGGCAGACUGAGAAAAACUGACUAACCAGAAGUCCUGGAAUCCUCCUGUCUCUGCCUCCAAGUGUCAUACAUGUGUUAAAUAGCCGUCACAAACAACCCUGUUGUGGCUAGAAGUCAGCUUUUCAUCAUCCAAACAUCGUAGCACAAUGUCAUGUCUACCAGAGUGAUACAGCCCUUUGGAUAAGAGCUAAUCAGGAAAAUGGCUCGAGGACAUGAAGGCUGGAACAUCAGCAGGCUGGUCACACUGGGACUGCAGUAUUCCGUGGAUCACGAACUGCAGGGUGGAUAUAUCGAGUAUAAAGAAAUGUGCUGUUUGUUCUGAGGUCCACCUUAUAUAAAGGAGCCAGGCGUUGAAAGCUUCAGUUCACGUCAUUGUCCCACAUACCUUAGGAGGAUUGUUUCCAUUUUGUGUGUUAUCAAACCAGAGCCCCGAAGAAUGUCUUCCAAAGUAGAAAGCUUGCUCUGAGAGAGGCCAAGGCCAGCGGAGGUUGAAGUCAGUCUCCAGUGAUUAGCUAUUUCCCGGAGACCUCCUGGAGGAAAUGCACAAGGUCUGAGGAGGGAGAGAGCUCCAAAUUGACAGCACACAUCUAUGUUCAAGGCGCUGUUGCCCUUGACAAGUGAUGGAACACUAUAAUAAGGCUUCGUGCAAAAAUGGACAAGAAGGAUGAAAGCAGCUCAAGUCAUCGUGGACACAUAGUUUAACUCAGAAAUCAGAACAGAGUUCUCAAGCUAAUAUGUGAGGUGGGCUGAAACAUCUAGAAAAAUCUCUCUGUGUUAGAACACGUAUGACUCACAAGUCAAGAAGUCUUCAUGUCCUCACUAUAUCCUGAUCUUAAGGGUUAAGCCCAUAGUCUCUGAUCCCUGAGUGGGUCCUUUUAUUAUUCAGGAGAAUAUUACAAAACCCAUAAACAAUGGUAAAUUACAUACUAUAUUAGUAACUUUUCUGUUCCUGUGAUAAAAUACCAUGACGAAGUCAACUUACAGAAGAGUUUAUUUGGGUUGAUGGUAUCUGGAGGGGUUGGAGAGCGUUAUGGCAGGCAGGCCUGGUAGCAAAUAAAAUGAACAGAAAGUCAAGCGUUAACAUCCUCAACCAUAAGCACCAAGCAGGGAGCAGGCUAGAAAUGCCUCAAGUCUUUAAAUUCUCAAAGCCCAUUACCAGCAAGGCAAAACCUCCUAAAUCUCUCAAAUUGCUCUACCAAUUGGGAAACAAGUGUUCAAAUACACAAGCUGGGCAAGUGACAUUCUCUUUCAAACCACCAUAUGUGACCCAGUCUUGGCAAAAUUAAGCAAGUCAGAAAAAGAAAAAAUAAUCAAAGAACAUUGGUUUAGGAAUUAGUAGGUUUCACCCAUGCCCCCCCACAAUAGUCUAUUCAUCAGAGUUAAUAUGAAACCUUCAUAGUAGUUAGCAUAUGUACUCCACAUAACUCAGAGGCUCCACACACCUCUUGAUUCUACCUCUCACAUUUCCAUAAGGUUUCUGGCAAGGAGAUCUGCAUUAUUCUUGCUAAACAGUGUCCCCAGAAGUGAUUGUUUUCAACUGUGACUAACAAAACAUACCUCUUGGGCUGAAAUCUAAAUUGCUCUUAAGGAAUUCUCUCUUGGGGAAGAGUUCCUCCCCUUUCCUCUUUAAUUCAAAGUAGGAGACUGUCUAUUCAUUCUGUCCUUAGUUAUUGCAGUAACUUUUUCCUCUUCAGACCAAGGUCAGAAGUCUCCUGUUGUUUGUCUCUACGAAGGUGCAUGAGCAUACAUAGCUGCACAGCAUGCAUAUUUAUGCUACAUAGGCAUUAAAGCAAAUAGAAGAGGGAUGAAUUUUUAAGAACACAGUAAGACUGAAAAAGUCUUGUUUGGAUAUUGACUGUUUUAUACUUUUAUGAACUUACUUGAUGCAGUUAAAGGAAAUAAACUUAAUCUUGCUCCUGAGCUAGCUCCUUAAGAAUGCAAAGUCUAAGAGUGGGAACCGUGAGGAUGGAUAACGAGCUGUACCAAGUGUCCUGGGGAAGGGGAGUCGUAUGAUACUUUAUUAGACAGAGAGAAGUCACUAACAUGAGAAGCCGAGAACUGAGGUCAGCUCUCUGCUGGUCUCAGACCUCAACUGCAGCUCCAAGAGAGCUUGUGACCCCUCCUUCUUUGACCUUUAUCCUUGCCUUCCCCCCAUGUACCUGUGACCACGCCCACUUGGUCUACCUACCGAACAGGAAAGAUAUUAAUAUGCAUAUAGCUACAACUGUCUGCCAGCAUCUGUAAGGUUUGAUGCUAGGACCUUCUGUCUCUUCAGGCCCUUAGAGGCUCAUGUCUCUUUCAUAAAACAGUAUAGCAUUGUAUAUAACCUAUACACAUCACCCUGUUUACUUUGAAUCAUGUCUAGAUUACUUGUAUACCUAAUAUAAUGUGACUGUAUUACAUUUAAUUGUUUAAGGAGUGAUGGCAAGACAUAAAAUUUGUUCAUGUCCAUUUAGUAGAGAAAUGAUUUUGCUUUCCAUAAAGAAAUGUGAGGUUUUACAACUCAAAGACUAUGAAACAGAUGCAGAGAGACUGUGUGUGUGUGUGUAUGUGUGUGUGUGUGUGUGUUUUAAAGACAUUCAUAAAUCUACUUUCUAUUCAUUGGGAUACUUAGGAUCCUUGGCUUGUGGCAUGUUGGGUCUCCUGUUGGCCUUUGGUUCCACUGUCCCAGUUGUGCUAUACUUUAUUACAGUGAGAGUUAACUUCUACUUCCAAGACCACUGUGCUAACUAACAAGAGCUUUGUGAAAUCAAGGUUCCUUUCUAGAACCUUAGCUCUGAUAAAGCUGCGGAAAUACUAUGGCAGCUCCCACGUGACUCUUUAAAGAUAACUCCUCUUUGUCAAAUAAUCUAAGUUACUUAGUGUGUAAUGGUCUUACAUUUUCAAAGCCUAAUGACCAUCCUUUGUGUGUGUGUGUGUGUGUGUGUUAUGUGUGUGUGUGUGUACAGAUGCAGGUGUGUUUGCAGGUGAGUGUGCACUUGUGUGCAUGUGUAUAUGGUGGUUAGAGGGCAACUCUAGGGGUCAUCUGUGGUAAUGUCGCUCACUUCCUUUUAAACAAGCUCUCUUAGGACACAUGGAGGUCACCAAUUAGGUUGGGCUGGCUCACCAGCAAACACCAAGGUCUUUACCUGGCCAGUGCUGGAAUUACAAAUGCUUGCCACCAUACCCCAGAGGCUUUUAUGUCAUUCUUGGGGUUAUGUUCACGUCCUUAUGAUUGAUUGUGAGGUAACGGUUUUACUGCUUGAAAGAUUCCCUCUGAGACCCUGAAAUGCAUUCUUUAUUGUAGACUUAGGCUCUGACCAGCAAGUCCCUCCAGGCCAGGUGUUUAGCAAGGCUGCUCCUUGGCUGCAUCUCCUUUCUCGGUGUUUUUGGUUGGGUCAGGAAGUGAUGCUCAAAGGAACUGGACUUCCGAGGGUGCCAGUCUCCAAGAACAGUUUCCAUACUUGGAGCCCAGAGUAGCUAAGCUGGAAAAAGGAGUGGAGGUGACGGGUUUUUCUGGCUUUGUAUUUUGUUUUCGUUGCUGGGUCUUGUGACUACUGUGUCCUGAAAUAAAAUUAAAGGUUGGAGAAGGAUGAGGAUGAGGAAGAUGGCAUCUGGAAGGCACCGGGAGAUCUGAGCUUUAUGCUGAAGAAGAGGAGGUCAGAUUCAAUUUGCUAGGGUUACCAGAGUCCUGCUUCUGAUUUUUUUCCCGGGUUAUUUCUCUUUCUGUAACAGAAGAGGUUGCGAGUUGUCAAAAGGAAGGAAAAACUCAUCUUAAAGUGAAAAAUGUCACCGAAAGUCUUGACGUAGCAAAGGCUUCACUCUUCAAUUUUGCACAAAAGGGUCUUGAAAUCUGACUGCACUGGAGCUUUUAAAAAGGUGUUGUCUGAGGAGAGUAGAGAGGUCUUUCCAUUACACCCCUUCCAUAGAUAACAGCAGCAACCAGCAACAUAUUGCCGGAUUCUGCCUGACUCUUAAGAUAUUUCUCACUCAAACACACUCAAGACAUCCACGGUGGUAAAGGCACGUGCCCAGCCAACAGUUACCUUUCAACAUAGUCACAUUUAAAUAGGAGAUUGGCACAUUGUCUGGGUAGUGCUUACCAUUUAAAAAAUAAUUACUUCUUCCCUAUUGCUUAUAAUAACUACUUUAAGCUCACAAGUGAAAUCUAUUUCCUCACCUCAAUUUUUCCCUCCUCUUCCAGGUCUGCAUCACACUGUGGGGCUUCUGGGGACUGCUGGGCGGCUGGCAUUGAUCUUUUGUCCCCUGGGGUGGGAAGAAACAGGUCUUCAAUUUUACCCUUUGGGGAAAAUAUCACACCUUUCACAAGAUACCUGGGCUUUUUCUUCUUUCCACAGACUCGAGUUAUUUUGUGUUAUUAAACAGUUGGGCUGACUUUGUAGUCAUGUACAUGUCCAGCUAUUCAUAUACCUGUGCCUUUAAAGCAUUUAUCUAUUCAACCAGGAUGUAUUUUGAUGUCUCCAUGAAAGUCAUUGUGCAAAGUGUUUGUUGUGAUGACGUAUAACAGAUGAUGUGUUUAUCUUUGAGAGCUUUAUUUCUAGCAUGUUCUAUUAGGUUGGGGAGAAAAUUGUACUACUUACUGUUCAUUGUAUAGGUGGAUAUCCUCACUUCCAGAUUUCCAGAUAAAAUAAGGUUUUUUUUUUAACUAAAGAAAAUAGCUUGUAUAAAGAACUUCCUUUUGUAAUCAUGAAUCUUGACGGUAAUCUACUGAUUGCUUUAUUCUGUUCUUGAACACGUGAAGGACACGUUAGAGUAGUCCUAAAAGGUAAAGAAAAGACAUGAAGGUAAAUUUGAGUUUCAGAAGUUAUGCCAUAUAGUUUAUUGAUCAGUCAGAUCAUAUCCUAAGUGCAUGGAGAUUAAAUCAUUCCAUUGAAAAUGUUCUCUUAAAGCUGGCUAGAGAGAACAAUUUUGGACCUUGGUAGAAAGUACUCCUCGAUCCUGGAGUAGAUAUGCCUGGAGCUGUAGCAUCUUAGAGUGGAUGGAACCUUGACUAUUGCAUUCCAGGGAAGAUGAAAUUUCAAUAAAACACAGUAAUAUGUUCCCCAGUGUCUGACAAGUCCAGACACUUUCAAGUACCUUGCAGAGUCAGGACCAAGUAGUGUGCUGUGACCUUGACAGCAUCCUUCCUUUCCCAUUUAUGGGAUUUGCUGAGCGUGAGUGGACGUAGAAUUGUGAUUUUACUGAAUGAAGAAUUUUCUUGUAGAUACUGAAUGGUAAAGCAGAAGGGUGUCCUACUCCCAAGAGAAGGAAGGGCAAAGGGAGACUGAAACUUUUCUGACCUCUGAGAACUUUGGUGUCACUCACCCCAGUUUUAUUGCCUGUUUUCCUUUUUAAUACAGUGCAUCAAAGCCAAAAACUUUCCUUCUGAAUGAAGCAGUAUGAUGUCAAUUUUCCAGGGGACCAGGGUGUCUUCAAUUAAAAUUGGGCUUUACUGAGAAGUGUUUGGCUUUGCAUUUGAACCAAAAAGUAAAGGAGACAGAGAGAAAUGUAGAGCGGUUGAUGGUUUCCCUAAUGGCUGGAAGAUCAAUUAAUUUACGACGAGGAAAAAGAAAAAGCUGCAUUACAGAUUUACUAAAUGUUCAUUAUCUAUGGACUUUGGAUAGGACCCGCUGUCAGCCUAUUAUCUACAGCGGAGAUCUGACAGUUCCAAUCCUGAGUUCGGGGACCAGUUGAUAAAUUAAAAAUCAUUUUAAAAUUUAAUAUUAAAAUUGAUAAUUGCUCUGUGGGAAAUAGAUUUUUCUGAACUUACACCCUUUUCCUGCAGUGCUGAGCAAAUGAUAAGCGAUAAACUGCCCAUUUGUCACGAUGAUAGAUAGACAAAAUCCUACUUUUACCCUUGUUCCUCGGCACUCAUACAUUUCAAUUAAGGAGAAUGAGUGCUGCCAUUUGUAAUGUAUCCAGAGUUCUUCCAUGCUUUCUUGGGGGCUUAAGGAGUUAUCUUUAGAAGUGAGAUGUACCCCAUCACCUCAUGCAGUCAUUGGAAAGUGUGUCCCAGCACAUCAAGACACAUGGCAGAAAGGCACAAGGUGACUGGUUACUAUCUACGUACGUUGUAGGAGGGUAGCACAGAAAAUAGUACGUGAGAAUCGCUGGUCACACCUCAGUCCUAAACUUGGUUAACCCAGGUUGGAGCAUAAUUGUCACAUGAGGUAUAUGGGACUCCUAUUUUGUCCCAUAUUCUGGAUGCCAUGCGACUUUGCAAAGAGCUCGGGAAAAUGAAGUUUCUAACCCUGUUAGUGUUUGGCUUGGUCAUGUGACCUCUUAAUCUAGUGACUGUUAGGGGGUAUGACCCGAGCAAAAGUACUACAUACACUUGGGGCUUGGAUUUGGGCACUUGGACUCCUAUGCUUAGAAUAUUCUAGAUUCCAGUCGCAGCUUCAUCCUGGACCUUGAAAGCAGCUAUACAACUGUGCUCUGAACCCGACCUGAAGUUGGUAGCCCAGCACAGACCGUUGAGAAUCUGAAACGAAAUUGUCCUGAUGUUCCAUGGACCCGUGAAAAAGAAGUGCUUAUUGUAGAAUUAUUUGCGUGUAAGUACACACACACCACGCGCGCACACACACACACACACAUGCACACACACACACAUGCACACACACACGUUUUGAAGCAACACUAGAUUCCUAAAGAUUAUUCCAUAAGAAAAACAUCUCCAAGACUAGAGCCAAUCACAACUGCAAUGAAUUUAUGCUUUUCCUCACUACUCUAUCCAUACUGUAUGCUGUGCACAGUUAAGGUUUUAAAAUGUAUGUGUUGAAAGACCAAAGGCCUUUUAAGGUAGAGCUUCUAUCUACUCCACAUUGUGUUCAGUUGGCCUGUCUCAGUUCUGUGGGUGGAUGAUAGUCUUUGCAAGUCUUCCUGAGAGCAUGUGACUUUGUCUCCAGUCCUACUUGCCUUCGGGGGCUUUCUAAUCUGAGAGGGGACGGCAUAGGUCGCCAAGUACUGCAACAAGAGAGGGAUCAGCUGGACUUUACAGAGUUUAGAGACAAAACUCAGUCUGAAGGCACAAGGGCAUUGGUGAUGUACAUUAUUCCAGUAGACUUUCUAUGAAAGACAUGUUUCAUCUAUUUUAGGGAUACUGAUGCUGAGUGUUAUAGCAGACAGUAGCGGUGGGCAUUUGUGUUAAUUAACGUUGUGUUAUACUACACAAAAUAGACACUCUGACUGUGCCCAUUUUAUAACAUUCUUAUAACCAUUUCACAAAUGCAAAGCAAGGUUGGGAAACGGCAAGUAUUUUCCCUAGAUUACAGAGGUAGUAAGUGGUAAAUGGUGGAUCUUCUUUUUAAUCUAGGACUUAGGACUCAGCAACUUGUAAGAUCAACCAAAAAGUACCAACAAUAUGGCUACUGAAUUCUAACCCCUAGACCUCUCAACAUGUGAUUUUGCUUCCUGGUCUGGUUUAUUAUCUCCGAUCUUCUUUUUCCUUCCUCUUAAAAAAGUCCAUUCAUAAUUACAGUUGUGCGAGGAGGAGCUCUCGCCUGCACCAUAGAAAGGAAAGAACUGCAGGAAGGGGGCCACUAAUUAGCUGGUCCCAGAGCUUCAUGAGGCUAGCAUGGUUUCUUUCUUUUUAAGGCUUCAAGGCAGGGACCAGGCUGGGCAAAGAACAAUGAGCACAUCGGGGAGGGGAUGCUUUUAAUGAUACGGUCGCUAAUGAAAUGGCACUCCACGGGUUCACUUAUUAGUAACUUAGCUCAAACAGCCAUGUCCUACUGUCAGCUAGCCACUGAAGACCCAGUGUGACCUCAGAAUUGUCAGCUCCACCUGAAAAGGCGCAAAUGCAGCAGAAAAAUCUAGAGGCAGCAAGCAUAAUUUGGAGUGGGGAGAUCAAUAACAAGGGAAAAGGUUGUUGAAUCUCUGCGUUUCCAGCUUGCUGUGACGUUAUGCCGGAAGUGGAGCUCUCUGAAGAACAGUCUAACCUUGCACUAUUUAGGUCUGCAUCUGAUUUGUAAACAAUAGAAAGGCUUGAUUGAAUGUUUUUGGAGGCCUGGGUGACAGUGUUGGUAUUAGAGGAGUGACAAGCACGACUCCAUUCUCAACUAAUUAUAUACUGUGGCUCCUCCUGAUGUUUUCCAGGGCACAGAGAUUUCUAACUUUACAUUUGAAAAAUGAUUUAUGGGGAAAACACUUCCAUACAAAUCUUGCUUGACAACUGGGGCAUCAUGAAGGAUAUAUAGAUGUGAAAUUUAAUGAUGCUUUCCAUUUCUAUAACUUCAUUUGUUUGAAUAACUCUACCCUUUACAUAAAUUAUUGAAUCACACCUGUUAAUAUCUGUCAAAUGUGAAGUGUAUUUACUCUUUAAUUUAGAGUUGGAUGGCUAGGGCUGUCAUGCUAGGAACUUUCUUUUUGAGGAAUAAGCCAGAUCUUAUACCUUUGGUUGGUUCCCAUCUAUGUUUAAAGGCUACUCCCUAAACAUAUACCAAUAAAUGGAAUUUUUCCCUUUAAAUGAUUAUUUAUAUCCUUAUUAACAAUUCAUGGUGCCUGUGUGCUUGCUACUCUCUUUGCGCAAAGCUAAAUAAACAUAAUUUCCUUGUGUCUGAACUCUGGUUAUAAACCAGAGUUUGUCCAAGGUGGUAUGAAUUCCCAAGAAUCAUUCAUUGUAAAGCCUAACAGUUUCAUUCUCACUGAUGUACAAGUCACACUUGUUGGUGAUAAAAUUAUGAAGAGGACAGUUCUCCACACCUUGACCUUCAGGUUGGGUUACAAAAACAUUCUUUGCCAGGUGUGUGGCUGAGUACUACUGGAAUUGGCUCUUUCUGUGGCAUCCUAUCAGAGACCCUUCCACACUUUUCCUGUGUCCACAUAACCCACCAGACUUUCGCUUUGUCUCCCUGUGAUUUUAGAAUAAUCAGCUCAUUCCUCUCAGCCUCUUAGGCAGCCCCACUCAGCUCCUGCUUCUGUUUCCCUUCCCGCCUUUGGCUAUCUAGUCACGGAGCAAGCCAGUAAUGAAAAUGGGUUUCAUUAAACAGGAAUCCUACUUAUUUUCUCAAACCACUAUGCUAAUAAUCUCCCUUCUCAAUAUAAAGGCUUAAACACAUACCAAUAUAACUAGUUUUUUUUUCAGCUAUGUUUUUUUCUAAAGAAGAUUAUUUCCCAGGGAUAAAAAUACCCUUUUUCAAAAUCCAGGACUUUGUAGUUAGAAAUGAAGACCUAAAGUGUCUAGAACUCAUUCUUUUUCCAUGAGGGAACGCAAGAUGAAAUUCCUGCCUUUUAGUCAUGCAGUUUUUAAAAAUGACCACAAAAGAGAUAUGAAGAGCUAAAACAUUUCCUCAUGAAAGCAUGAAUUUUGCAGGCCCUUAUGAAUAAAUCAAGAUGAGUAUUAGAAUACAGAUAUAGUUUGUCUGCAUAUGAAUAUGAGUAUUAGAAAUAUGACGCUUGUUCCCCCCAGGAAUUGAAACAUGUGCCCAGACAUAUUUAGUGUAAUGCCAGAGAAAUGACAAGUCCAUAGAAAUUCAGAGAGGCUUUUGUGUCUUAACAGAAAGCCAUCUUCAGAGUGACCACACCCACUUUGGCAGCUGUUAUUCCAGCCUCUAUUUUGACUGGGGUUGAGGUCUGUCAGUUUCUGCAGCCUCUAGCUAUCAACUACAGUUUACAGCAGAAUAUCUAACUUCCUGUUUUGAAACCAUCCUCCUUGGUUUUUCUCCUGACACUGAUCUCAGCCUCCAUCUCCCUUUUCUCCUGCUUUGUCCUGUCAGGAAGACUGCCGUCAUCAGCAAGAAGUCAAUCUUGACUCUUCACUCUCUGGAGCUCUCAGGGCUCUUUGCAAAUACAAGGAGCAUGACCCUGGAAAUAUUUCUCCCCCAGAAAAAAGAAAAAACCUCCACUUGUCAAUCAGUCAUCCUGGGCAUAACUUUUCACAAAGGAACUCAGAGCAGCCUCUGUCUUAAUCCAUCACGGUUGGGAAACCAUGGGGAGCAGAGAGGCCAAAUAAGUAAAAAGCUACAAUUGGCUUUAAAGGCUAGCUCAAUUAUUACAUGUAUUGCUUUCAUACCACACAAACGCUGCAAAAUGCACAAAAGAAUGAAGAAGGCUAGACCCUUAUUGGUGGAUGAGUUGAGGAUGCAAGGUAGCUGAUUAACUGGCCUUCUGGUUACUUGAAUAUUAACCUGUUUAUUGAGAGAAAUUGUGCAGGGCAGGGUUUGAUAGAGCAAAGAAAGAUGAAUAUUUCUUUCUAGAUGGUCACAAUUCAGUGAUUCUUCCAUCCCACUUUGUAGGUUUCUGCUGCUCCUUUCAUUUGUCUUAUUUUACAAUGAGCUGUCUGUAUGUUUCUCUUACCCAAGAGGUUAUAAGCAAUUUUAGAGCAGAAGUAUUUUUUCCAUGUUUGUAGAACCUGUAAACAUUUUCAGAUGGUAGGUGCCCAUUUAUUAUUUGCUGAGUUGCAUUGAUUUUACCUCCUUAAUAUAUUUUUAAAUGUAUUGUUUAGCCAACAACAAAUACCCACAAUAUCUGUCAGUGCCUUAUAUACAAAAAAGAGGCUCGAAGAACAUGAAGGUAGUGUGCACUUAGGUGACUUUUGUAAAAGUUAAAAGCAAAAUUUUUCUUGAAAACAGCAAAUGUUUACAAAAUAAUUCCUGAAUUAACAUGGAUACACACACACACACACACACACACACACACACGCAAACACAACCUGUUUAAAACAUAUACAAUGAUAAACAUGAAAGAUUAAAAUGAAGAAUAGAACUUUCCCCCUUGAGAAUGAUGAAAAGAGAAGGCAGAGAGCUGAAAGUGAUGUAUUAGUCGAUUAUUAUUAGAUUUCUCAUGACUCUACAAUGAGGGGUUAGGUAUCUGAAAAGUAUAGAAAUUAUAAAGUCAACAUUGAGGCCCUACUUUUCUUUAUGUCGUUUUCUACAUCCAUAAAACAUAUGGGUGAAUGGCAUUAAAGUACUGCUUUUGCUGUCCUGGAGUUAAACAGGGUAAGCUAACAGCUGAAAAUUAAUAUAGACACCAAGUCACAGAAGGGCUAGAAGGAAACAAUGCCAUCUAGGGAAGUAGCUGAGGCGAGGAAACUAAUGUGGCCAUAUAGCAAGUUAAGUAGUGUGACUGAUUCAGGGUCCCUUGAGAAGGAAACAUUGGAGCCAAAACUUACUGGAGGUAAGGGUUGACAAAGCAGGUAUCUAGAAAAUACCUUUCCAACUAGAGGGAGUGGUCAGUGCAAAAUGGAGAGGGUCUGAAGCAGGCAAGUUGAGGGGUAAUGAUAGGCCAAUGUGGUUGGUGUAGAAAACACAAGGAAAUGCUAUAUAUAGUAAGAAACAAAGCCAGGGGAAUGCCAAAAGGGCAGCUACAUGGGAUCUUUUAGACUACUGCGAAUAAAGCUCUGAAUAAAAUGAGAACCCCAUGAAAUGUUUCUAAUACUUAGGUGACGCUGCUGUGUGCUAUAAAUCCUAGGUGGUUCACUGUAGUUGCUGUGCUGAGGUACACAUGAAGGAUUUCCCACAAUGUAGCUGAGACAUGAUGACGCUCGACAUGUUUUCUGUCCUCUGUAUCAGACUGUGAACUCCCAUAGAGAAGGGGUAUCUUGUCAGUAUUGCCAUUUCUAGCAGGUUCUGCUAUAAUGUAGGUCCUCAACAAAUGUACCCUGAAUACAUGGGAGCGGACCUAUGUCAGGUCAAAGACAAUGGCUGAAGUUCCUGCAAUAGAUCUGCACAUAGGGUGAUCAAUACUGUAGGGAAGGGAAAUAAUGUAACUUAUAAGGUCUGAUACAUAGCAUCGUCCACAAUGGGUGCUCUCUGUUUCAUGAGUAUCAUGAAUUGAAAAUGCUAGAGAGGGGGAGUUCCCCUCAGCACAAGACAUAAGGUUUCACUCACUCACUGUUUUGGACAUGAUUUUAUUCUACUCUUCUCUCUCUCUCUCUCUCUCU